rnacentral:lncRNA from 1 species
ACAGCACUGGACACAGAUGGGCGAUUAUUGAAAAACCCAACACCUAGAAGGCAAGAUAAUUCUUUUGGCGGUUGUGUAACCUUGGUGAACUCGUUUUUGGUACACUAAAUGCUCGCACUAAACUAAAGGGUACAAAGUGUAAAGGAUUGGCUACCUUUAUAAAUGGGUUGUGUGUUGCAUGAGAAGCGAGUGCGAGGAAAGUCUUAAUUGUUUUUUGGGUUCAGAUUAGUCAGGCCGGAUUUGCAAUUGUUGUUCUAACAUAAUCCACACUGAGUGAAUGACGAAAAAGAAAAAAAAAGAUGAAAUUUCUAAGCAAUUGGUUUAGACCUCUCCAAGUGAGGUUCAUGACAUAUCCAUGAUGUUUCCAAUUGAUGCUGCAAGAUCUGUAAUUGGGCAGGUCAGAGAUUUGAUUCUAGGUUUUGUUUCUUCAACAAUGUUCACGUAAAAGUUUCGUCUUUUUAUGGUAUUCUUUUCGGUAUUGCAAUAUGUAAUGUUAUAUGUAGUAAAUUUAACUUAAUGUUGUUUUGAAUAUAUUUGCUUUCUGCGG